rnacentral:snoRNA from 1 species
AACCCAUGGUGAGGGCGCCUUCUCAGUAAGUCCUUAUAUCUCUCCCAUGCAUCGUAAAGUGUUUCUAAAUCCAUCUGCACAAAAGAAAAGAUACCAUUACGUAAUUU